AGUGAGUAUUAUUAUUAUAUUGUUGUAUAACGUAUAUUAUAAUAUAUUUAUAGAUGCGGAUAAGUACAAUGUGACAAUAAUUGUCUUUCAUUUCGGAUAGCUGUUUUUUUUGUUUUGCCUCGUGAAGUUGCGACAAAUGUACACGCGUUUUUCGUGUGGCAAUGAACUUUAUCGGGCAAUUUCAUUUUAUAUUUUUCUCGCGUAUGUUAUUUUUUACUGAUGCGUAUGUCAUGUUAUGCAGUGAUAUGCGCAUCUAUAUAGUAAUAUAGAAUCGUACGAAGCGCAUCGCGUUCAAAAGUAAUAUACUGAAUACUGAUUGUGUGAUGUGCGUACAGGUUGCCCACGAAACAAUGACCGGGUUUAACAGUUAUAUAUUUUUUUCGAAAACAAAAAAUGCACGAAAACCCACCGCCGGUUGCCGAGAUUAUCCGUACGUUUCCUAGUUAUUAUUAUUUUUUUAGUUUACUUUGCAAAUACAUAAAUGUUUAAUGAGCGUCCGUCCUUAUCGUGCAGACGCGAACGAUAUCGAAUCGAUAAUCGCCAAUCUCGUUUCAUCACUGCCUCGUAUAUUAUAUCUGCUGAUGCGAUGUUAUUUUUUUUCAGUUC